GACAGAGGGGGCAAGCGUUGCUCGGAAUUACUGGGCGUAAAGGGCGCGUAGGCGGGAUGGCAAGUCGGUCGUGAAAUCCUUCGGCUCAACCGAAGAACGUCGAUCGAUACUGCUGUUCUUGAGGGUUGCAGAGGAGACUGGAAUUCCCGGUGUAGCGGUGAAAUGUGUAGAGAUCGGGAGGAACACCGGUGGCGAAAGCGGCUCACUGGAUCUCUUCUGACGCUGAUGCACGAAAGCUAGGGUAGCGAACGGG
rnacentral:rRNA from 1 species